rnacentral:tRNA from 1 species
AGACAACAAAAUGUUUAAUAUUAUUAUUUUGUCACCUUAGGUCGAUCGGUAUCUCACGUUCUUAACUAAUUAAGAAUUUCAAUUCCUAAGUUUUUCUAGGUCACACCCAUUAUUUUUCCUGGGCCAUUAGCUCAGGUGGUUAGAGCGCACCCCUGAUAAGGGUGAGGUCCCUGGUUCAAGUCCAGGAUGGCCCAUAUCUCUAUGUUGGGGGUAUAGCUCAGUUGGUAGAGCGCCUGCUUUGCAAGCAGGAUGUCAGCGGUUCGAGUCCGCUUACCUCCACUGAUUACCACCUCUUCCAUAAUUUGUAGAAAGGAAAUUUUUGAGUCGUGAUCGACUUCUGAACGAAUCUAGCUUCCUAAUGAAAGCAUUAAGAUGCUGGACUCAUUGAAUUAAUUUCAUUGUUUUCAGAGAACCUUGACAACUGCAUAGAUUAUUUUUAAAGACAAUAAGCAUCUUUAAUGAUGCAGAUUUAUUAUUUGUGCAAAUGCAUUAAUAACAAUUCUAUUAAGCUGAUGCUUCAAUUUUGAAGUUAUU